rnacentral:rRNA from 1 species
GACGUAGGGGACGAGCGUUGUCCGGAUUCAUUGGGCGUAAAGCGCGCGUAGGCGGCCACGCAAGUCGGGUGUGAAAUCCCGGAGCUCAACUCCGGAACUGCACUCGAAACUGCGCGGCUUGAGGUAGGUAGGGGAGAUCGGAAUUCCUGGUGUAGCGGUGAAAUGCGCAGAUAUCAGGAGGAACACCAAUGGCGAAGGCAGCGCGCUGGGACGGUACUGACGCUGAGACGCGAAAGCGUGGGGAGCAAACAGG